rnacentral:rRNA from 1 species
CCUGGUGGCGAGCGGCGAACGGGUGAGUAAUACAUCGGAACAUGCCCAGUCGUGGGGGAUAACACUUCGAAAGAAGUGCUAAUACCGCAUACGUCCUGAGGGAGAAAGCGGGGGAUCGCAAGACCUCGCGCGAUUGGAGUGGCCGAUGUCAGAUUAGCUAGUUGGUGGGGUAAAGGCCUACCAAGGCAACGAUCUGUAGCUGGUCUGAGAGGAUGAUCAGCCACACUGGGACUGAGACACGGCCCAG